UACGAAGGGGGCUAGCGUUGCUCGGAAUCACUGGGCGUAAAGCGCACGUAGGCGGCUUUCUAAGUCAGGGGUGAAAUCCUGGAGCUCAACUCCAGAACUGCCUUUGAUACUGGAGAGCUCGAGCCCGGAAGAGGUGAGUGGAACUCCGAGUGUAGAGGUGAAAUUCGUAGAUAUUCGCAAGAACACCAGUGGCGAAGGCGGCUCACUGGCCCGGUACUGACGCUGAGGUGCGAAAGCGUGGGGAGCAAACAGG
rnacentral:rRNA from 1 species